CGUGACCCCACGACCAGGCCGCGGGACGUGGAGCGCGGGUAGCCCGGCCAAUCUGGAGCAGCGCACGGGCGUAGAAUGCAGGCAGCCCCGGCCAACAGCGCGCGGACGUGGAAAGCGGGUGUCCCGCGGCCCGGUCAACCCUCGCCGGAGCAGCGCGCACACUUGGAAGGCCCCCGGAUUUUAGUCGUGCAGGCACGGAGCUCUACAUGACGAAAAACACAAAAGUUACUCAAGAAUACAAGACAGAAGAAGUGGAACAAAAUACCAGGUAAAUUUCGCCAUGUCUCACCCUGAGAUGCAGACUGCAGCAGGGAUUCACUGGCAAGCACGAAGCCCAGUCAAGGAAGGAUCGGGGUGUGCAUUCAUGUUUUGCACGCAA